rnacentral:rRNA from 1 species
CAAGGGGACCUGCGGAG